UGGGGAAUAUUGGACAAUGGGCGAAAGCCUGAUCCAGCCAUGCCGCGUGUGUGAAGAAGGUCUUCGGAUUGUAAAGCACUUUAAGUUGGGAGGAAGGGCAGUAAGCGAAUACCUUGCUGUUUUGACGUUACCGACAGAAUAAGCACCGGCUAACUCUGUGCCAGCAGCCGCGGUAAUACAGAGGGUGCAAGCGUUAAUCGGAAUUACUGGGCGUAAAGCGCGCGUAGGUGGUUCGUUAAGUUGAAUGUGAAAGCCCCGGGCUCAACCUGGGAACUGCAUCCAAAAAUGGCGAGCUAGAGUAGGGAAGAGGGUGGUGGAAUUUCCUGUGUAGCGGUGAAAUGCGUAGAUAUAGGAAGGAACACCAGUGGCGAAGGCGACAACCUGGGCUCAUACUGACACUGAGGUGCGAAAGCGUGGGGAGCAAACAGG
rnacentral:rRNA from 1 species